AGAGUUUGAGUCCUGGCUCAGGAUGACGCUGCGGCGUGCCUAAUACAUGCAAGUCGAAGCGGAACCGACUUCGGUGGGAAGGACGGCGAACGGGUGAGUAAAACGUAAGGUGAUCUGCCCAUCAGACGGGGACAACGAUUGGAAACGAUCGCUAAUACCGGAUAGGACGAAAGUUUAAAGAUGCUUCUGGCAUCACUGAUGGAUGAGCCUGCGGCGCAUUAGCUAGUUGGUGGGGUAAAGGCCUACCAAGGCGACGAUGCGUAGCCGACCUGAGAGGGUGAACGGCCACACUGGGACUGAGACACGACCCAGACUCCUACGGGAGGCAGCAGUAGGGAAUCUUCGGCAAUGGGCGAAAGCCUGACCGAGCAACGCCGCGUGAAUGAAGAAGGCCUUCGGGUUGUAAAAUUCUGUUAUAAGGGAAGAAAGGUGAUAGGAGGAAAUGACUAUCAAUUGACGGUACCUUAUGAGAAAGCCACGGCUAACUACGUG
rnacentral:rRNA from 1 species